AGAUAUAGGUUAAUUUUUAAACUGUUAGUUUUCAAAACUAAAGAUUUGUUCUA
rnacentral:tRNA from 1 species